rnacentral:lncRNA from 1 species
GCUGUGCAAAACAUUGGCAGUUUGAUUAGGUCCCAUUGGUUUAUUUUUGCUUUUAUUUCUGUUGCAUUGGGAGACUGACCUGAGAAAACAUUUGGAAGGUUGAUAUCAGAGAAUGUUUUGCCUAUAUUCUCUUCCAGGAGUUUGAUGCUGUCUUGUCUUAUAUUUAAGUCUUUCAGCCAUUUUGAGUUUAUUUUUGUGCAUGGUGUGAGGUUGUGUUCUAGUUUCCUUGAUUUGCAUUCUGCUGUCCAGGUUUCCCAGCAAUAUUUGCUGAAAAGUCUGUCUUUUUCCCAUUUGAUGUUCUUGACUCCUUUGUCAAAGAUUAAUUGACCAUAGGUGCCUGGCUUUAUUUCUGGGUUCUCUAUUCUGUUCCAUUGGUUUUUAUAUCUGUUUUGGUACCAGUACCACACUGUCUUCAUGUCUGUGGCUUUGUAAUAUUGCCUGAAGUCUGGGAGGGUUAUGCCUCCUGCUUGGUUUUUGUUUCUCAGGAUUGCUUUGGCAAUUCUGGGUCUUUUGUUGUUCCAUAUAAAUGUUUGGAUUAUUUGUUCUAGUUCUGUGAAAAAUGUUAUGGGUAAUUUGAUAAGGAUUGGAUUGAAUCUGUAGAUUGCUUUGGGGAGUAUGGCCAUUUUUACAAUACUAAUUUUUCCAUCUCAGGAGCAUGGAAUAUCUUUCCAUUUCUUUAUACCUUCUUUAAUUUCCUUGAUUAAUGUUUUAUUUUUCUCAGCAUAUAAGUCUUUCACCUUCUUGGUCAGAUUUAUUCCUAGUUAUUUAAUUUUUGGGGGUGUGAUUUUAACAGCUAUUGUAAUUUGUGUUCCUUUUCUAAUAUUUCAUUGUUAGUAUACAGAAAUUCAAUGAAUUUCUGAAUGUUAAUCUUGUAUCCUGCUACUUUGCUCAAUUCAUUGAUCAGUUUGAGUAGUUUUUGUGUGGAGUACUUAGGUUUUCUGUAUAUAGUAUCUUGUCAUCUGCAUGCAGUGAAAAUUUUACCUCAUCUCUUCAAAUUUGGAUACAUUUUAUUUCUUUUGUUUGUCUGUUCACUGUGGCUAGGACUUCCAAUACUAUGUUGAAUAAAAAUGGUGAGAGUGGGCAUCCUUGUCUUGUUCCAGAUAUUAGUGGGAAGGCUUUCAGCUUUCCCAUAUUGAGCAUUAAAUUUGCUAUGAGUUUUUCAUAAAUGACUUUUAUUAUGUUAUGUUCCCUCUAUACACACUUUGGCAGGAGUUUUGACCAUGAAUGGAUGAUGGACUUUGUCAAAUGCUUUUUCUGCAUCUAUUGAGGAGAUCAUGUGGUUUUUCACUUUUCUUUGGUUAAUG